AUUUGUUGUAUGUUACUCUGGCAACUUAGUCGACACCACAGUUGACUUGAUUCCCUUAUGUGAUGAUGGGAUGACCCAGAAACUAGAAUUAUCCUUCCUUCCAAAUUAUGAUACAGAAUUAUCCGACGAUUCAGAAUGUGAUACUGAACCUACGAUUCAUUUUUUCUUGGUAUCUCUUGCUGUCUUAUGGGAAACAUCUAAGGCAAAUGGAAAAACACCUAAUGACUAUGGGCUUAUUACAUUAUUGUUCUCCGGAGAAACGAAGGAGUUUGGAUUCCGUUUGUUGUAUAAAGAUGAACCAACAGAACAUUGCAUUGGGACACCAUGAUGAAGCCAAUUGCUCCUCGUCUAAGAAACAAAGCUCUUAUUUCUAAUAUUCAUUGGAGCUGUCUUUGAGAAUCUGCAGCAACAACCAGUCUCUUUCAGAAACUUUGCAGCUCUCUCCCCCAAGCCCAGAAUUUUGUCUUAAAUAUAGGUAAUAUACCUCAUGAUUGUUUUUCCCCUAGUUGGUAGUGAAAUUCUGUUCAACUCUCUUUUUAUGUACUUCUCUCCUAUUAGCUACAAAGUCUUCUUCCAAUUCUGUUAAUAACUAUUUCAUUCUUUCCUUUUUUUUUCUUUAUUCUUUCCCGUACUGACAGGAGCUCAUCAAUGGUGAUGUAUGUAUCAACAGUGAGUUUUGUUGAUUGAUUCUCCAUCUUGUGUUAAGCCAUGAUUAACCAUGGUGAGUUAAAGGAUGUGAGCAAGUUUUUUUUUUGAUACUCAAAUCAGAUCCUGGAAUCAUUCAAUCUUCAUAAAUUCUUACCUUAAAAUGUGCUCACAAAUGAAUAGAAUAAUCCUACAUUUUAUCCUGGUAUUUUUAUCACUUAUCCCUCAUACCAAAUAACCCUUAGGGUCAUUUGGUUGGGAACAAGUUAUCCUGGGAUAAGUUAUUCUACUAUGUAUAUGGAAUAACUUAUCCCAUCAAUGAUCAAUAUAGUAUAAAAUUAUAAAUGGUGGGAUAAAUAAUUCAAAGACUACCUAAUACCUCCGACCAAACACAUGAUAAAAUUAUCUUGCAUUUAUCCCUAGAAUAUUAUACCUUAUAUCUCACACCAAACGACUUCAUAGAGUAUUGGAAACAAAUUUCUCGUAAGUUCUAUAUUAUACUCAAUUUUGUUUUUCGACUUGUUCAUUUGUGGUUCUUUUUACAAUUCAAUUGGCUCUAAAGUGAUUUUCUGAAAUCAAGUAUUUUUUGUUUCUUUAAUUAGUUCACACACCUUUUUCAGUGAGAAUGAAGGACCAGGAUUCCUACUUAGAAUCAAUUAUCAUAUUCAUUUUGAAGUAUCAUUUCAGAUGAAUACUUCAAUUGCUAUUUCCAUUGUUCAAAUUGGGUGAUCCGCAAUCGGAGUCUUUGAUAAGGACUUAUAUCUAAACCUCUUUGGUUUGCUGUGUGAUGUUUUAGCAUCAAUCCCCUACAUUUGAAAAAAAAAAUGGAAUAGUUCUCAACUAAUCUGUAGAUGCUUAUAUAUCAUAUUACUUCUUCAAGUAAGGGAAACAUUCUCUUAGUUCUUCAUUUAAUUAUGUGCUGUAUUAGUUACAGAACUAGUUUUUCCUCCAUGCAGUAAAUUUUAGUGGGGUUUUCAGGCCUGUGCAGUUGACAGUUAACUAAGCAGGAGCAAUAGACUGAACUCUGAAGAUGUUUGAUGAAGUGAGCACUCUGAAUUUCAUUUCUAGAACGUAACUCGAAUUUUAAUUUAUAGAACUAAUCUUGAAUGCUACAGAUGCUUACUAUUGUGAUGGCAAUCUUAUCUGAAAGAACCAACUCUUUUAUAACUAACUCUUUUAUAACUGAUGUUCACCAUUUUACUUGCGAAAUAAUUUUCAUUUUAGAAAAACCAGAAGUUUCUUGAACAUUACAUAACUUUAAAAGCUUUAUGUGGGAUGACUCUGUUUAGCACUUUUAAUUCCUCUAAUUCUAAAUUGAACCUCCACAUUUAACUUGUCACUAAGAGUGUUCAUCAUUGAGCAUCCUGAGAAGAAGAUCCCAAGUUGGUUCCACCAUCAGGGAAUGGAUAACUUCUUGGGAUUUACUUUGUCAAGUUUGAAAACAUGGUUUUGAAAUUCAGUGUUUGCAAAGCCUUGAGGCUGCUUGACAUAUACGUCCUCCUUUAGAAUCCAUUCAGGAAGGUACUUUGCACAUCCAUUUGAUGGAGUGUGAAUUCCAUAUAGGCAGCAACUGUUGCCUUGUUACAAAUGAGAGAAAAUAAUGAUGAACCAACAGAGCAUCUCGUUGUGACAGGUACAAGCAGAUACGGAAAUUGUGAACAACAUUACUCCGUGACCAAUGAAGCCAGUUAAAAUGUCAAAUACUCAAUAACAUUAGAAACAAAGGCCAUAUUUCUUAAAUAUAGGUAAUAUACCUCAUGAUUUUCUUUUUCCCGUUUGUCAUGAAACUGUGCUCUCUCCCUCCUAUCAUCUACAAAAUCUUCUUCUAAUAUUGAUAAUUAUUUUAUGCUGAUUCUUCUUUCUUUUUCCCAUUGUGUUUUCUUUCUUCUUUCCCUUAUUGACAGGAGCUCAUCAAUGGUUUGAUUUACAUAUAAUCAGUAAAUUUUAUCAAUUGAUUCUUCAUCGUAUAUCCGCUUGUGUGAGCCAUGAUUAACCCAGGUGAGUUGAAGGCUAACAUGAAAUUAAAAUUUUCAAUGCUUAGAUCAGAUUCUGGAAUCAUGCAACAUUAAUUCAGUUGGUACCUAAAAGUACUCGCAAAUCAAUUGGUUGAAUUUGAAAAUAAGUGCUCUAAAAUGAAAAGAUAAUGCUACAAAUUGAGGGAAAUUACGAUGAAGUAAUAGCCACUAUUUGAGUUAUGGAUGCCAGAAAUUUAUGCUGUCAUUUUGAAGAGAUUUCAAGAAGUGCAGGCAAGUCACAGGAAAAAUGAAAAUCCUUGAUAGUACCAUAUGCUCGAAUUUCCAUAUGGACAAUAGAGCUGCUUUACCCACAGGAGCACUUUUUUUUUUUACAAUUUAACUGGCUCUAAAAUGGUUUGUGAAGAUAAAUUAUUGUCUCCUUGAUUAGUUUACUCACCUUUUCAGUGAGAAUGAAGGACUAGGAUUUCUCCUUAGUAAUCAAUUAUCAUAUUUGUUUUGAAGUAUCAUGGUCUUUUUGGCAGAUGAAUAUUUCAAUUGCUAUUUCCUUUGUACAAAUUGGCUAAUUGGAGUCUUUCGUAUGGACAUGCAGCUAGAAUAUUUGGCUUUGCUGUGUGAUAUUUGAGCUACAAUCAUAGUUGGCAAAAAAUGCAUAGGUCUCAACUUAAUCUGUAUCCAGAUUCCUCAAGUAAGGGAACAUUCUCCUCGAUCUGAUAAUCUCCAUUCCCCCAAGUAGAGCUUCAAUCCAAGACUCAAAGAAUAGUUAUGAAACUUGUUUAAACCAUUUCAAUAUAAUUUUCAUUUUGGAAAAACCAGAAGUUCCUUGCACGUUAUGUGUCAGUUUAACCCUUCUGCAUCAAAUGUUUUCAUGUCGAAAGGUAAUGAUCAUUCUCUAACUUUUGCAAUACACUUCCGCAGGAGCCAUUUUCAUCUUUGUACCAAGUAAAAGGUGAGUUCAAUUUGUAUACAUUUACUGUAUGCAUUCUGCUUUUUUGAGUACUGAGUUUUAUAUUGACUUUGUUGUAUGAUUUUCAUUUGAUACCCUCUCCGAAUGUUAUUGUUGGGAUUCUUUAAAAAUUGGGCUUCAAAGAUCACGUGUAGUGUGAUACACAGUUUUGUGUGGGCUCAAAACUUCAUUAAUCCGUUGUUAUUUUGUUCCAGUAUAUAGUUUGAGUACAGGUAUAACAGUUAUAUUAGCAGAAAUCUCUGUUUUAAAUAUAAGUAUAUCUCUUGUUAUAGCAGGGAGGUUCAAUCAAAGAUGCAGCACAAUGUGAGACGGUGGAGCAAGAGAUGCAGGUGAGGUUCAACCUUGCUCAUGAUCUCCUUCAGUUUUCUUAUGCUUCUUUUGAAGGAAAAUGCGAAACAUAAGAAACCUAGUCUUUGUGUUAACUUUUAAUUACAACAGACAAAAUGUGUUACCAUUUGCAAAAACAUCAGAUAAAUUUCAGAAUUAUAGCUGUGAUAGUGUUAAUGGCUAUAGCCUAUAUAUGACCUUCCAUCUCUUAUUAAGCCAAGAUUGAAUGCACCAAUUGUCUGUUGUCUGGCUUGUUAACUUCGACCUCUAUAAAAGUAAUAAGUAGCAUCUAUGUUUUGAUUACUUAUAAGUAGUUUUGACAAGUUUCACUCUUUUGGUUUUGGUUCACGAUUGCAGUGCAAAGUGGGACCAUGAUUGCUUUGAGAACAACACCGGUAACACUGCCUAUGAAUGGGCACAUAUUUCCUCUGUUUGUUACAGAACAACUAGUGUCUUGGAUUACUUAGAGAAUAACACCGGUGACACGGCCUAUGAAGGGCACAUGCUUUUCCUCUGUUUGUAACAGAACAAUUAGUGUCUGGGCCUGAGAAAGAGAUUCACGAGAUCUUUAUAUCCUGGUAUUAUUAUUAAAGGUCAUGUCUUCUUCUUUUACUUGGAUUUAUUGCACUUGAGCCGAGGGUCUUUUGGAAACAGCCUCUCUAUCCUCACGGGGUUGUGAACUUGUGGUGAGGUCUGUGUACACAAUACCCUCCUAGACCCCACUUGUGGGAUUCACUGGGUAUGUUGUUGUUGAUUAUUAAAGGUCACACCACACCUCUCCUAGACCAGAAUGCUGCAUUUCAUUAUGAACUAAAAUCACACCUUCACAUUUACUGAUGAGUAGCCUGUCCAUAAUCCUAUUGCAGAUGAAUGUGUGAGAAACAAGAAAACUUCACCAAAACGGGUGGAUGAAAGAAGCCAUGGAACUAUCAGUAAGUCGCCUCACAUCACAAAGCAAACGGAACAAAGGGAAACUAUUUCCAGGAAUCGAAUGUAGCUUGGUGGUUGAGCAACUAUUCUUCCUUUGGAUGUAGAGCUCAAAUACUCUCUGACACUAUCAAGCAAGCGUAGAGUUUAUUGACAUCGAUCCACUAUCAAAUCUACAUGUGGUAGAAAUAGUUGGUAGAUAGGAACUAAACACUGAAACUGUCAAUCCAAUCCAAUGUCAAAGGAACAACCAGCAGGGUUUUCACUGCAAGUUUUCGACCAAACUCCAGAUUGCAUUACCAAUGCAUUCUGGGCUGGCAAAGCAGGCACUGUUUACCCGCGUAAAAAUAGUCAGCGUAGUUUUUCCACCCUUCUGGGACUGUAAAUAAUCCUCCUAGUGCUCAUGAUACUUACUCUAACUCCUACUGCUUUAUCUAAUGCUACUAUGCAAUCAACAAAUGUUCAACCCUGCUAUGUAACCACUCUGUGUAAUAACUAGUGUGUUUAAUAUAUCAUCUUUUCUACCAAAAAAAAAAAACAGUUGUCAAACAAGAAGAAAAUGAGUCAAGUCUAGCUGAGCUGUUGGUGACAAAGAAAUUACCCUUCUUUUUCUUGGCUGCUUCAUCAGCUUUAACUUUUUGUUGUACAUUGUGUACAAUUUUCUGUAGAGUAUGGAGCCACUUUAGGGUAGGUAGGUCUAAUGCUAUCACAGAAAUUUCCUACUACUUACCUCUUUACAGCAUUUAUACAAGUUGACUAAUUCAAUUGGAGUAGACCCCAUCUUCAUACAAACUUUACAAAAGAUCAUCAAUUCUCUCAUAUAACAACCACAAUUUUUCUGUAAAAGGUGUCAGGAGGUUCAGGUGCACUGACGAGCCUGUACGAAUUUGAGAUAUUAACUGGCAUUAUUAAUGUGAUCGCCAUGCGGUGUUUUAUCAUUAGUCUUAAAGGGGUUAAUUGGAGCUUUUCUAUUAGCCAAGGUCUAAACCUAUAAUUAGUUUGUAAAGGAAUUCCGAUUCUAGCAAUACGACAACAAUACAUUAUUUUCAUAAAUCCCACGUUGGAGCACCAAUUAAAUCUGAAUUGCGUAUUGCAGGGCUGUUAAGGAUCGGAGUGACGUUCCCAACAAAAAAUUUUCCAUGCCCAAGGCUUGAACAUGAGAUUUCUAAUUAAGGGUGAAACAGUCAACCAUAACCUGGUUAGUUAAGGGGUCUCGGAUAGACUUGCAAACACACUGAAACAUUCAGAUCUAUACUCCUGCACUUUAUUUAUCUUAUUCACUUUGUUUUAACCCUAAAUCAAUAUUCAAACGGCUAGUAAAUGAAUCUAAAUAUAGUUGGAAAUACUUACCAGUUGACUAGAAGUCAAUGGUUUUGGCUCCCCUCCACUCCAGUAUGUCAUCUCUCCAAAAUAUAAUGAAUUGUUCAUAUUUACUCUCAAAAAACCCAAUCAUUGGUCAACAAUAACAUGUUUUCUCUCUUUUGAUCUCCAUUGCCAGACAAGAAUUCCACCCCCAUUACCUUCCAAAUCUUCCAAGAAUUGAUGGCAUCAUCAUCUUCUCCUUCUGAGAGUAAUUCACAGUAUUCAUGUCCUCAACGGAAGUACAAGUACGAUGUGUUUCUAAGUUUAAGAGGCACAGAUACUCGCAAAAAUUUUACAAGUCACUUGUACAAAGCUUUGACGAACAGGGGAAUAGUCACCUUUCUAGAUGAGAAAAGGCUAGAGAAUGGUGAUUCCCUCUCGAAAGAACUAGUGAAAGCUAUAGAAGAGUCUCAAGUUGCUGUAAUCAUCUUCUCAAAGAAUUAUGCUACGUCGAGGUGGUGCUUGGAUGAAGUAGUGAAGAUUAUGGAAUGCAAGGAAGAAAAUGGACAAUUAGUCAUACCAAUCUUCUAUGAUGUGGAUCCAUCACAUGUUCGAUACCAAAGUAAGAGCUUUGCAAAAGCCUUAGCCAAACACGAAUCGAGGUAUAAGGAUGAUGUGCAACGAUGGAGGACUGCUCUAAGUGAAGCUGCAGAUCUAAAAGGAUAUGAUAUCCGUGAAAGGUGAGUUUGGAUGUGAAAUUCUACUUAUUCUCGUCUCUCUUAUCUGUAUAUAUCAAUAAUGUUGUUAUUUUUUGUAGGAUUGAAUCACACUGUAUUGAGGAUCUUGUUAAUGAAAUUUCGCCCAAAUUAUGCACGACUUCUUUAUCUUCUUUGAAAGAUAUUGUGGGAAUAGAUGCUCAUUUAGAGGAAGUCAACUACCUUCUAGAGAUGACAAGCAAUGAUGUCCGGAGGGUGUGGAUCUGGGGAACUGGGGGAGUUGGUAAAACGACAAUAGCAAAAGCUAUUUUUGAUAUACACUCAUCUAAAUUUGAUGGUUCUUGUUUCCUUCAGGUCAGUAAAGAAAACAAGCAUGAGAUACAUUCUCUGCAAAGUAGUCUUCUCUCUAAACUGGUAGGGGAAAAAGAAAGUGUGAAUGAUAAGGAGACAGGGAGGGACCUGAUUUCUCAUAGACUUCGUUUGAAGAAGGUUCUAGUUGUGCUUGAUAACAUAGAUCAUGAUGACCAAUUGGAUUACCUAGCAGGGAAUCUUGGUUGGUUUGGCAGUGGCAGCAGAAUAAUUGCAACAACGAGAGACAUGCAUAUCAUACGGAAAAACGAUGCCGUAUAUCCUGUGACUACACUACUUGAACAUGAUGCAGUUAAGUUGUUCAACCAAUAUGCCUUCAAAGAUGAAGUUCCAGAUAAGUGUUUCGAGGAGAUAACGUUGGAGGUAGUACGUCAUGCUCAAGGCCUUCCAUUAGCCCUGAGAGUGUGGGGUUCUUCCUUACGUAACAGGGAUAUUAUUUGGUGGAGGAGUGCUGUUGAUCGAAUAAAGAGGAACCCUAGUUCAACAGUUGUUGAAAACCUCAAAGUAAGUUAUGAUGGGUUGGAGCGUGAAGAUCAAGAGAUAUUUCUAGAUAUUGCAUGCUUCUUAAGAGGGAAAAAAGUAACCGAAAUCAAGCAAAUUCUUGAGAGCUGUGGUUUUGAAGCUGAUUACGGAUUGAGUGUGCUAAUUGACAAGUCUCUUGUGUUCAUCUCUGAAGAUACGAUUGAAAUGCAUGACUUAAUACAAGAGAUGGGAAAAUAUAUUGUGAAAAUUCAAACGGAUGCGGGCGAAUGUAGCAGAAUAUGGGAUUUUGAAGAAAUGAUGAUCAACAAUAAAGUAAGUAGGCUAAACAAUACAAUAAUAUUCAAUUUCUAGUUUUCAUAUCCCAAGACAUAUAGGGUCAAUUCCAUCAUUUGUUCUUCUUGCUUCAUAUUUUCGCACUUAAGUCACAUCAAUUUUUUACUUUAGUAGUAGAAGUAAGUAACAUCAAUUGUCUAACACUGCCUAGUUCGUCAAUUAGCCACUUUAACUACAACCGCCUAAUUCGUCUUUCUUGUGUUACUAAGUCAUGAUUUAGAGCCUGUUCGGAUUGUUUUUUUUCGAGUGCUUUUAAGCUGAAAUUUCUUUUAAGCACUUCUAUAGUGUUUGAGUAAAAUAAAAAUAUGCUUCUAAGCACUUGUUUUUAAGUCAAAAAGAUAAAACUAAGCCAAAAGUUUUAAGCCUAUCCAAACAAGCUCUUAGUCUAGUAGCCACUUACUCUGUUUAAGCCAACUUUUUUCUUUGAGAUAACUUGAAUUUUGUAUGACAUUUUAUAUAUACUAACUCAAUCAGGAAUUCACUUUACCGAUGAAUUUCUUAUUUGAAAAAAUUAUAAGUUAUUUGCACUACUACACUUACAAUUUUAUUCUCUCACUGCAUGAAAAAACUUUCAGACUUGACUCUAAAGAACUUCUUAGGAAAUGUAUAACUCCAUUAGAAAAUAGAAUUGUUGAAUUAAUUGCACUAAGUAUUUCUCUUAAGCAACAUAUUUUGUUAAAUAGACCUAACAAAUUGUAAGUUAAUUUGGCACUGCAAGGAUUGAGAAAGUAAUCAUAUUGGCAAUUGGAUUUUAUACAACAUUUGAAGUUAUACUUUUGUAAAGAAAUGAUCUUUUUUACCAGGGAACCAAGGCAAUGGAAGCAAUCUGGUUUCGUGAUGAUAAAAAUAUAUGCUUUAGCAAAGACGCAAUGAAAGAUAUGGAAAAACUUAGGAUAUUAUACAUAUGGUCCCAAGAUAACUCCCUUUGCUCCAUUGAGUACCUGCCCAGCAACUUGCGUUGGUUUGUCUGGAAUCACUUUCCUUGGGAGUCAUUGCCAAAAAAUUUUGAACCCAAAAGGCUUGUUCAUCUUGAACUCCGCUUCAGCUCACUGCAUCAUUUAUGGACGGGAAUAAAGGUACCGUUUUAUUUGAGAUACUUUGUAUUUUGGGUUGUCAUGCUCGUGUUCAAAUGAAUUAAGUUAUUAUAAUAUCUUUUAGGUCGUUUUCUUUCAAAUCGUUGCAUCAUAAUUUUAACUAAGAAGCUCAAUUUAACAACUUGUGUUGUUUUCAUUACUCUCUUUGUUAUCAUUUAUCCUCCCGGCGAGUCCCAGGUUGAGAUCCAUGCUUCCACGUGACAUCUUUUGAAACAAUAUAUAUACACACACUUUUUAACCUUUUUAAGUUUUGGACCAAAAUUUUAAAAUACAUGCUGGAACUCCAUUACUUGGGCUAAAAAUUUUCAUUUUAGUAAAAGUAAUGGGGUUUCAACCAGUUUUUUCUCACAGGCUUGGCCCGAAAAAGAAAAAUACAAUGUUGAAAUAAAUAGUCAUUGCAUCUAAAGAGGAACUAGAAAGAAAACAUAGUUGGAACUUUACUACCUUGGCUUAAUCUUCUUUUUAUGUGGAUAUUCAUAAUGAAAUUUCAACCAACUGUUUUUACAGAUUUGGUCUGGAAAAAACAAUACACAAUUAGAAUAAAUAGUCAUUGCAACUAAAGAAGAAAAAAAAAAUUACACAAUCCAUUAUUUUGGCUAAAAAGUUUAUGUUUGGCUGAAAAUCAACGGAACUGCAACCAAAAAUCUUUUAUAUACAUAUUUUGCCCCCCAAAAAAUACACACUUGAAAUAAAUAGUCACUGCAUCUAAAGACGAAACAAAAAGAAAUAUGUAGUUGGAACUGAAUCAUUUUGGCAUAACUUUUCUGUUUGGCUAAAACAGUGGAAUUCUAGCCAAGUUACUUUGCUAUGGAUUUGGUCCCAAUAAAGAAAAAAAUACACAAUUAAAGCAAAUAGCCAUUACAUCUAAAGAAUAAAAAAAAAUACAAAUUUGGGUUAAAAUGGGCAUUCUAAUUAAGAAGAAGCAAGAAGAGAUUUGCGAAAAAUAUUCCACUUGGAAGCUUAUUUUUCAAUUAAACACAGGUCAUUUGAUUCAUAGAUAAGCCCCUAGCUAAAUCUAAAUCCAAGGCAGCUACUAUUGUUGUUUUCCUAUAUAACUCAUUCUUUCUAUAUUCUGAAUAUAUUGCAGCAUUUGCCGUCUCUACGGAGGCUAGAUCUCAGCUACUCCAAAAACCUGAGGAAAACACCAGAUUUCACGGGGAUGCCUAAUUUGGAGUAUUUGAAUCUGGAGGAAUGUUCGAGUCUUCUAGAGGUUCACCAUUCCCUAGGUGGUUGCAGAAAACUCAUUAAAUUAAAUUUGCGAAGUUGUGGACACCUAAAGAGGUUUCUAUGUGUUAAUGGGGAAUCUAUUGAAUAUCUGCACCUAGGUGGUUGCUAUAGUUUAGAGAUAUUUCCAAGGAUCUGUGGGAGAAUGAUUCACGUGGAACGCUCUGGGAUAAGGGAAGUACCAUCAGCUAUUAUUCGGCCCCAAUCUAGUUCUACAGAGCUAGAUUUGAGUGACAUGAAAAACCUUGCAACACUUCCAUGCAACAUUUGCAAGUUGAAAGGUUUGGUGAAGCUAAAAGUGUCCUACUGCUCAAAGCUUGAAAGCUUGCCAAAAGAGAUAGGUGAUUUAGAAAACUUAGAGGAGCUUCAUGCCACAGGGACUCUAAUUUCACAACCUCCACCUUCCAUUGUCCGCUUGAACAAGCUUAAAUUCUUGACUUUUGCAAAUAAUCAAUUAGAAGAUGGAGUGUGCUUUGUGUUCCCUCAGGUGAAUGAAGGGUUACUUUCAUUGGAGAAACUGGAUCUCAGUUACUGCAAUUUAAAAGAUGGAGGACUUCCGGAAGACAUUGGAUCCUUAUCCUCUUUGAAAGAGUUGAAUCUCGAUGGAAAUAAUUUCGAGCAUUUGCCUCUAAGCAUAGCCCAACUUGGUGCUCUUCGAUCCUUGACCUUAUCACAUUGCAAGAGGCUUACACAGCUGCCAGAAUUUCCACAGCAAUUAGAUACAAUAAAUGCAGAUUGGAGCAAUGAUUCAAUCUGUAAUUCAUUGUUUCAGAAUAUCUCAUCAUUGCAGCAUGAUAUCUCUGCUUCAGAUUCCUUGUCACUAAGAGUGUUUACAAGUUGGGGGGAGAAUAUCCCAAGGUGGUUCCACCAUCAGGGAAUUAUGGAUACAAGUGUAUCAGUCAAUUUGCCUAAGAAUUGGUAUGUAUCGGAUAAGUUCUUGGGAUUUGCUGUAUGUUACUAUGACGAAUUAAUUGAUGACAUCACUGCUCAUUUGAUUCCCUUAUGUGAUGAUGGGAUGUCGUCGAUGACCCAGAAAUUUGCCUUAUCCAACCAUUCAGAAUAUCUUGAGAAAUAUGCUAUUCAUUUUUUGUUGGUACCUCUUGGUGGCUUAUGGGAUGCAUCUAAUGCAAAUGGAAAAACACCAAAUGACUAUGGGCUUAUUAGGCUAUCUUUUUCUGGAGAAAUGAAGGAGUUUGGAUUUCGUUUGUUGUAUAAAGACGAACCAAAGCUUGAGGGAUUGUUACAAAUAAGGGAAAACAAUGACUCCAUGGCAUCAUCUUCUUCUUCUGCUAAAUCGUCACAGUUGCCUCAACGGAAGUAUGAUGUCUUCCUAAAUUUUAGAGGUGAAGAUACCCGCACAACAUUUACGGGUCACUUGUACCAAGGUUUGAGAAACAGGGGAAUAUUCACCUUUCAAGGUGACAAAAGGCUAGAGCAUGACGAUUCUAUCCAAGAAGAACUCUUGAAAGCUAUAGAAGAGUCUCAAGUUGCUGUAAUCAUUUUCUCAAAAAAUUAUGCUACGUCGAGUUGGUGCUUGGAUGAACUAGUGAAGAUUAUGGAAUGCAAGGAGGAAGAAAAUGGACAAACAGUCAUACCGGUGUUCUAUGAUGUGGAUCCAUCACAUGUUCAAAACCAAAAGGAGAGCUUUGCAGAAGCCUUUGCCAAACACGAAUCAAAGUAUAAGGAUGAUGCUGAAGGAAUGCAGAAGGUUCAAGGAUGGAGGAAUGCCCUAACUGCUGCUGCAGAUCUAAAAGGAUUCGAUAUCCGUAACGGGUGAGUUAAAAUAACAUAAUUGCUUUUCAUGAAAGAAGAAACAGAAUUAUUUCCAUUCAAAUUUGGAUGCUUCUAUGAAGACUACCUACCAAAAUGAGUCAAUCAGAAUAUUAUAUAUUUCUUAAAUAAUUUUUCAUAUUUUCUAAAAAUAGAAUAAUUAUAUAGUUCUAUCUAUAAGAAGGCAUAGUUCCUAUUAGUUUUAUUGCUCAAUGACAUUGUUAGGUAGAUAAUAUGUUGAUUGGUUCUUCAAGAGUUCGGUCUUUUCAGUAAGAAGGCAUAGUCCUAUCAAUUAAAAGCAUAUAAAAGAAUGAUGGUAGAUUAAAUAUGUUUCUGUCAGUAAGAAGGCACAGUCCUGUUUAAUUAGAGAGAACACAUAAAAAUCCUCAUAAACUAUUCAAGUUUUGCAACUUACAUAUAGAUUGUUGCUAUUACCCUUAACAACAUGAAAUACUUACUUAUACUUGACUUUCUCACAUUUUCCACAAUCAAUCUUCUUAUUUAUGUAGGAUUAAAUAUGAGAAUAUUCAGCAGAUCGUCGCCCACAUCUCUUCCAAAUUAGGCAAUAGUGCUUAUUCUUUAUCUUCUUUGAAAGAUGUUGUGGGAAUACAUGCUCAUUUAGAGAAACUAAAAUCCCGACUUGAAAUAGAAAUUGAUGAUGUUCGGAUCUUAGGGAUCUGGGGAACAGGUGGAAUUGGUAAAACGACAAUAGCAAAAGCCAUCUUUCAUACUCUAUCUUAUCAAUUUAAAGCUGCUUGUUUUCUCGAGGAUGUUAAAGAAAAUGCCAAAAAGAAUCAACUGCAUUAUUUACAAAAUACUCUUCUCUCUGAACUGUUAGUAGAGACUGAUGAUUAUGUCAAUAAUAAGAAAGAGGGGAAGUGCAUGAUUCCGAGCAGACUUUCUUCUAUGAAGGUGCUAAUUGUGCUUGAUGACAUUGAUGAAAGAGAUCAUUUGGAGUAUUUAGCAGGUGAUGUUGGUUGGUUUGGUAGUGGCAGCAGAGUUGUUGUAACAACUAGAAAUAGAGCUUUGAUAAAGAAUGCUGAUGCAAUAUAUGAAGUGCCUACACUACCUGAUCUUGAAGCUUUGCAACUGUUCAAUCAGUAUGCUUUCAAAAAAGAAGUUCCAGAUGAGCGUUUUAAGAAAUUCUCGUUGGAGGUAGUAGAUCAUGCUAAAGGCCUUCCUUUAGCCCUCAAGGUGUGGGGUUCUUUGUUGCAUAGGAAAGACCUAAGUCAGUGGAGAAGAAUUAUAGACUAUAUAGAGAAAAACUAUAGUUCAGGGAUUGUUCAAAAAACUCAAAAUUAGUUAUGAUGGGUUGGAUCCCAUGAACAACAGAUAUUUCUAGAUAUAGCUUGUUUUUUCCGAGGAGAUGAAAAAAAGAAAGUCAUGCAAAUCCUUGAGAGCUGUGAUUUUGGAGCUGAUGGAUUGGAUGUCCUAAUUGACAAAUCUCUUGUGUUCUUAACUGAAGAUGAUACAAUUGAAAUGCAUGACUUAAUACAAGAUAUGGGUAAAUAUAUAGUGAAAAUUCAAAAGGAUGCAGGCGAAUGUAGCAGAAUAUGGGACUAUGAAGAUUUUGAAGAAGUGAUGGUCAACAAUAAAGUAAGUAGACUAAACAAUACAAUAAUAUUCAAUUUCUAAUUUUCAUAUUCCAAAGACAAAUAGGGUCAAUUCCAUUAUUUGUUCUUCUUACUUCAUAUUUCCGCACUUAAGUCACAUCAGUUUUUUACUUUAGUAGUAGAAGCAAGUAACAUUAAUUGUCUAACACCGCCUAGUUCGUCAAGUAGCCACUUUAAUUACCGCUGCCUAAUUUGUUUUUUCUUAUGUUACUAAGCCAUGAUUUAGUCUAGUAGCCACUUACUUUGUUUAAGUCAACUUCUUUUUUUUUUUAAAUAACUUGAAUUUUGUUUGAGAUUUUAUAUAUACUAACUCAAUCAGGAAUUCACUUUACCGUUGAAAUUACAAGUUAUUGGCACUACUACUUUACAAUUUUUUUCUGUCACUGCAUGAAAAAACUCUCAGACUUGACUCUAAAGCACUUUUCAGAAAAUGUGUAACUCCAUAGAAAAUAGAACUGUUGAACUAAUUGCACAAAGUAUACUUCUCUUAAGCAACAUAUUUCAUUUAAAAGACCUAGCAAAUAUUGUACGCUAAUUUGGCACUGCAAGGAUUGAGGAAGUAAUCAUAUUGGCAAUUGAAUUUUAUACGACAUUUGAAGUUAUACUUUUGUAAAGAAAUGAUCUUUUUUACUAGGGAACCGAGGCAAUGGAAGCAAUCUGGUUUCAUUACGAUGGGGAAAUAUGCUUUAGGAAAGAGGCCAUGAAAAAUAUGGAAAUACUUAGGAUAUUAUACAUAUGGUCCCAAGAUUACUCCCCUUGCGAUGAUGGCUCCAUUGAGUACCUGCCCAACAGCUUGCGUUGGUUUGUCUGGAAUCACUUUCCUUGCGAGUCAUUGCCAGAAAAUUUUGAACCCAAAAGGCUUGUUCAUCUUCAACUCCGCUUCAGUUCACUGCGUUAUUUAUGGACGGGAAUAAAGGUACAAUAAUUAAAUUCUUGUUUAUUUUUAUUUUCUCUCUAACUAUAUUUGUCCUUCAGUGAUGCACAGAUACUUUUUCUUUCAGACUGUUUUAUUUGAUAUACUUUAUAUUUUGGCUUGUUCUGAAAUUAUGAUGCGUGUCUUUAAAAUGAAAAGAAGUUGUUAAAUCCAUAAACUCAAAUUAAUAUAUUUUAUAUAACUAGUUUUGACGCACGUGCGUUGCACGUGAAAAUCAAACCAUGUACCACACUAUUUUAAAAAUAAUAUGAAUAUUGCUAAAUAAAAAAUUAGUCACUCUUAAAAUCUCUUAGUUACACCUCUAAAAUAAACUUUCUACUCCCUUCGCCAUAGUGCAUUACUUUGUUAUUAUUGUUUUGUAGUUGUUCUUACUUUUAAUAUAAUAAAAUAUAAAUAAAUAUUGAUAUCAAAUAUAGAAGAUAUACUAAAUUGGAUGUUUUAGUUGGAGUAUUAGAUUAAUUUAACAUUCAUGUUAUGGAGUGUUCUAAUUUCACUGAACUUUGAGAUUGUCAAACGUUUGUAAAUCAAAACUUGAGGUUUUAAGAAGAGAAGAAUAGAAAACAUAAAAAAUCGUAGUUUAAAAAUGUGAGAAAAUCCGUCCAUUUAUAGUUAAAAAUGUGUGGUAUUAGUAUGUGCAUAUUGUUUCUUAUCAUAAAAAUAUAGAACUGAUGAAGCCCCUUUUUUUUACAGCCAACAAAGGGUAGUGUAUAAAAAACUGCUCGUGGUGCCUUAUAAAAAAGAAGUCACAACCUUUUAGAAAGGUCAAAACUCAUCGGAAAAGUCAUAAAUCUUCGAAAAAGUCGCAACCCUUUAGAAAAGUCACAACUCUUCGGAAAAGUCGCAACCCUAUAGAAAAGUCACAACCCUUCAAAGUGGUCACAACUCAUCAGGAAAGUUAUAACUCUUCAAAAAUGUCACAACUCUUCAAUGUGAAAAGUUGUCUGACUUUAAUAUAAUACAAUUUAAUAUAAUAUAAUAUAACUCAUCGAAAAGUCACAACUCUAUAAAAAAAGUCACUACCCAUCAAUGUGAAAAGGUGUAUGCAUUUAAUAUAAUAUAGUGAUAUAAAUAUAAUAUUAAAUAUAGAAUAUAUAAUAAACUGGGUGUUUUAAGUUGGGGGUAUUAUAGUGAUUUAACAUAAAGUUAGGGAGUUCAUGCUUUUAAGGUAGUAUAGAUAUAAAUAUAGAUAGAUAGAUAGAUGGAUAUAUAGAUAGAUUUUGGGUUAUUCUCAUAUCUAUUACUGGAAGAUCUUUAUGUCGUUUUUCUCCCAAAUCUUCCUAUCAUAUAUUAACUUAUAAGAAGCUAAGUGGUUCAAACAUUUCCCUAGCAAGAUAUGAAUCGCAUCCUGAGAUUGCAUGUAGUGGGACGGACAUGAAGGGUAACUUAUGUACAACUAUUUUAUAGAAAAAUACAAUGUUGAAAUAAAUAGUCAUUGCAUCUAAAGAGAGAAUAAAAAGAAAACACUGUUGGAACUCUACUUCCUUGGCUAAUUUUUUUUUUUUUAAUUUGGAUAAACGUACUGAAACCUCAGCCAAUUUUUUUUACAGAUUCUUUUACCUGUCUGUUCUUGUUUUCCUUUCUCAUCCUUUUUCUGUUCUGAAUAGCAGCGUUUUCCGUAUCUACGGACGCUAGAUCUCAGCCGCUCUAGAGACCUGGCGCAAACACCAGAUUUCACGGAGAUGUCAAAUUUGGAGAAUUUGGAUUUGGGCAAUUGUAUUAAUCUUGAAGAGGUUCACCAAUCCCUGGGAUGUCGCACAAAACUCAAGAGGUUGAAUUUGAUAUAUUGUAGACGCCUCAAGUGGUUUCCAUAUGUUAACGUGGAAUCUCUUGAAUAUCUGGAUCUAAAGUUCUGCUCCCGUUUGGAGAAAUUUCCAGAGAUCUGCGGAAGACCGAGGCCGAACUUAAAUAUUAAGAUGUGUGACUCUGAGAUAAGGGAACUGCCAUCAUAUAUUGUUCAGUGCCUAACUCUGAGACAUUUGGAUAAUCUUGAAGCUCUUCCGAGAAGCAUUGGCAUGUUGACAGGCUUGGUUACUCUAGAUGUGUCGAAUUGCUAUAAACUUGAAAGCUUGCCAGAAGAUCUAGGAGAUUUAGUAAACUUGGAGAAGCUUGAUGCCACAGGGACUCUAAUUUCACGACCUCCGUCUUCCAUCUUCCGCUUGAACAAGCUUACAUUCAUGAGUUUUGCGAAACAAAGAUAUAACAUAAGCCUCAAAGAGGGAGUGUACUUUGAGUUCCCUCAAGUGAAUGAAGGGUUACACUCAUUGGAAGAUCUGGAUCUCUGUUACUGCAAUUUAAAAGAUGGAGGACUUCCGGAAGACAUUGGAUCCUUAUACUCUUUGGAACACUUGAAUCUCCAGGGAAAUAAUUUUGAUCAUUUACCUCAAAGCAUAGCCCAACUUGGUGCUCUUCGAUCCUUGAACUUAUCAAAUUGCAAGAGGCUUACACAGCUGCCAGACUUCAUGGGGAUGCCAAACUUGAUGACGCUGAAUCUCAGUAUAAUUAACAUUGAGCGUUUGCCUCGAAGCAUAGAACAACUUAGUGCUCUUCGAUCCUUGGACUUGUCAUAUUGUGAGAGGCUUAAAGAGUUGCCAAUCUUCAUGGGAAUGCAAAACUUGGAGACUUUGAAUUUGUCAAAUUGUAUAAAUCUUGAAGAGGUUCAUCGUUCCCUGGGACUUCUCAAAAAGCUCUGUACAUUAAAAAUGACUAAUUGUAAACAGCUUAAGAGGUUUCCAGCUCUGUGCAUUGAUUCUCUUGAUUAUCUGUGUCUACGGGAUUGCUCUAGUUUAGAAAAAAUUCCAGAAAUCCUCGGAAACAUGAAAGCUGAGUUAGAGAUUCACAUGCUCGACAGUGUAAUAAGGGAUCUAGGUUUUAGAGGUUUUGAAAACCUUGCAACACUUCCGAGCAGCAUUUGUAAGUUGAAAAGUUUGGUCAGCCUAAAUGUGUCGGAUUGCUCUAAGCUUAAAAGCUUUCCAGAAGAAAUAGGAGAUUUAGAAAACUUGGAAAAUCUUGAUGCUAGAGGUACUCUAAUUUCACAACCUCCAUCUUCCAUUGUCCAGUUGAAGAAGCUUAAAUUUUUGAGUUUUGCAAAACAAAAUUCUGGAGGAGGUCUCGUAGAUGGAGUGUACUUUAGUUUCCCUGUGGUGUCUGAUGGAUUACGCUUGUUGGAGAAUCUGAAUCUCAGUUACUGCAAUGUAAUAGAUGUAGGUCUUCCGGAAGACAUUGGAUUCUUAUCCUCUCUGAAUGAGUUAUAUCUCUCUGGAAAUAAUUUUGAGCAUUUGCCUCAAAGCAUAGCCCAACUUGGUGCUCUUCGGUCUUUGGACCUAUCAGAUUGCAAGAGGCUUAAAGAGUUGCCAGGUUUCGAAGGGAUGCAAAACUUGGCGACUUUGAAUCUGUCAAAUUGUAUGAAUCUUGAAGAGGUUCAUCAUUCCCUGAAAUGUCUUGAAAAUCUCUGUACAUUAAAGUUGACUAAUUGUAAAAGGCUCAAGAGGUUUCCAGUUCUGUGCAUUAAUUCCCUUGAAUAUCUGAAUCUAGAGGGGUGCUCUAGUUUAGAAAUGUUUCCAGAAAUCCUCGGAAGCAUGGAUUUGAAGUUAAAGAGUGGGUUAAAGUGCCUAGACUUGAGAGGUUUAGAAAACCUUGUAACACUUCCGAGCAGUAUUUGUAAGUUGAAAAAUUUGGUGGAGCUAAAUGUGUCGGCAUGCUCAAAACUUGAAAGCUUACCAGAAGAGAUAGGUGAUUUAGAGAACUUGGAGUGGCUUGAUGCCAAAAAUACUCUAAUUUUGCAACCUCCGCCUUCCAUUGUUUGUUUGAACAAGCUUCAUUUCUUGCGGUUCGCAAAACAAAAAUCAGAAGUAGGCCUCAAAGCUGGAGUGUUCUUUGUUUUCCCUGCGGUGUCUGAUGGAUUACGCUUGUUGGAGAAUCUGAAUCUCAGUUACUGCAAUGUAAUAGAUGUAGGUCUUCCGGAAGACAUUGGAUUCUUAUCCUCUCUGAACGAGUUAUAUCUCUCUGGAAAUAAUUUUGAGCAUUUGCCUCGAAGCAUAGCCCAACUUGGUGCUCUUCGGUCUUUGGACCUAUCAGAUUGCAAGAGGCUUAAAGAGUUGCCAGGUUUCGAAGGGAUGCAAAACUUGGCGACUUUGAAUCUGUCAAAUUGUAUAAUUCUUGAAGAGGUUCAUCAUUCCCUGGGACGUCUCAAAAAGCUCUGUACAUUAAAGUUGACUAAUUGUAAAAAGCUCAAGAGGCUUCCAGUUCUGUGCAUCGAUUCCCUUGAAUAUCUGAAUCUAGAGGGGUGCUCUAGUUUAGAAAAUUUUCCGGAAAUCCUUGGAAGCAUGAAUGUGAAGUCGGAUAUUCACAUGUUAGAUAGUGUGAUGAGGGAUCUAAAUUCCAUGUAUAUCUCACUUCCACGUUCCUUGUCUCAGGAUAUCGUUUCCUUGCCGAAUGACAUCUCUGCUUCAGAUUCCUUGUCACAAAGAGUGUUUACCAUUGUGCAUGAUGAGAAUAAGAUCCCAAGUUGGUUCCACCAUCAAGGAAAGGAUGAAAGUGUAUCGAUCAAUUUGCCUGAAAAUUGGUAUGUAUUGGAUAACUUCUUGGGAUUAGUUGUAUGUUACUCUGGCAACCUAGUUGACACCACAGUUGACUUGAUUCCCUUAUGUGAUGAUGGGAUGACCAGAAACUAGAAUUAUCCUUCCUUCCAAAUUAUGAUACAGAAUUAUCCGACGAUUCAGAAUGUGAUACUGAACCUACGAUUCAUUUUUUCUUGGUAUCUCUUGCUGGCUUAUGGGAAACAUCUAAGGCAAAUGGAAAAACACCAAAUGACUAUGGGCUUAUUACAUUAUCGUUCUCCGGAGAAACGAAGGAGUUUGGAUUCCGUUUGUUGUAUAAAGAUGAACCAACAGAACAUUGCAUUGGGACACCAUGAUGAAGCCAAUUGUUCCUCUUCUAAGAAACAAAGCUCUUAUUUAUAAUAUUCAUUGGAGGAGCUGUCUUUGAGAAUCUGCAGCAACAACCAGUCUCUUCAGAAACUUUGCAGCUCUCUCCCCCCAAGCCCAGAAUUUUGGCUUAAAUAUAGGUAAUAUACCUCAUGAUUUGUUUUCCCCUAGUUGGUAGUGAAAUUCUGUUCAACUCUCUUUUUAUGUAAUUCUCUCCUAUUAGCUACAAAGUCUUCUUCCAAUUCUGUUAAUAACUUUUUCAUUUCUUUUCCUUUUUUUUUCUUUAUUCUUUCCCGUACUGACAGGAGCUCAUCAAUGGUGAUGUAUGUAUCAACAGUGAGUUUUGUUGAUUGAUUCUCCAUCUUGUGUUAAGCCAUGAUUAACCAUGGUGAGUUAAAGGAUGUGAACAAGUUUUUUUUUCGAUACUCAAAUCAGAUCUUGGAAUCAUUCAAUCUUCAUAAAUUCUUACCUUAAAAUGUGCUCACAAGUGAAUAGAAUAAUCCUGCAUUUUAUCCUGGUAUUUUUAUCACUUAUCCCUCAUACCAAAUAACCCUUAAGGUCAUUUGGUUGGGAACAAGUUAUCCUGGUUAUAAUUAUCCUGGGAUAAGCUAUUCUACUAUGUAUAUGGAAUAACUUAUCCCAUCAAUAUAGUAUAAAAUUAUAAAUAGUGGGAUAAAUAAUUCAAACACUACCUAAUACCUCCAACCAAACACAUGAUAAAAUUAUCCUGCAUUUAUCCCGAGAAUAUUAUACCUUAUACCUCACACCGAACGACUCCAUAGAGUAUUGGAAACAAAUUUCUCUUAAGUUCUAUAUUAUACUCAAUUUUGUUUUUCGACUUGUUCAUUUGUGGUUCUUUUUACGAUUCAAUUGGCUCUAAAGUGAUUUUCUGAAAUCAAGUAUUUUUUGUUUCUUUAAUUAGUUCACGCACCUUUUUCAGUGAGAAUGAAGGACUAGGAUUUAUCCUUAGAAUCAAUUAUCAUAUUCAUUUUGAAGUAUCACUUCAGAUGAAUACUUCAAUUGCUAUUUCCAUUGUUCAAAUUGGGUGAUCCGCAAUCGGAGUCUUUGAUAAGGAUGUAUAUCUAAACCUCUUUGGUUUGCUGUGUGAUGUUUGAGCAUCAAUCCCCAACAUUUGGAAAAAAAUGGAAUAGUUCUCAACUAAUCUGUAGAUGCUUAUAUAUCAUAUUACUUCCUCAAGUAAGGGAAACAUUCUCUUAGUUCUUCAUUUAAUUAUGUGCUGUAUUAAUUACAGAACUAGUUUUUCCUCCAUGCAGUAAAUUUUAGUGGGGUUUUCAGGCCUGUGCAGCUGCUGAGGAGUUUAUGCGGCAGUUGCCACAGUUAACUAAGCAGGAGCAAGAGACUAAACUCUGAAGAUGUUGAUGAAGUGAGCACUCUGAAUUUCAUUUCUAGAACAUAACUUGAAUUUUAAUUUAUAGAACUAAACUUGAAUGCCACAGAUGCUUACUAUUGUGAUGGCUAUCCAACUAGAAAGAAACUACUCUUGUAUGCUCUUCAUCAGAAACUGAAGUUCACCAUUUUACUUGGAAAAUAUAUUUCAUUUUGGAAAGACCAGAAGUUUCUUAAACAUUACAUAACUUUAAAAGCUUUAGGUGGGACGACUCAGUUUGGCACUUAAUCCCUCUAUCCUAAAUUGAACCUUCACAUUUAACUUGUUACUAGGAGUGUUUAUCAUCGAGCAUCCUGAGAAGAAGAUCCCAAGUUGGUUCCACCAUCAGGGAAUGGAUAGCUUCUUGGGAUUUGCUGUAUGUUACAGUGCUUUGUCAAGUUUGAAAACAUGGUUUUGAAAUUCAGUGUUUGCAAAGCCUUGAGGCCGCUUGACAUAUACGUCCUCCUUUAGAAUCCAUUCAGGAAGGCACUGUGCACAUCCAUUUGAUGGAGUGUGAAUUCCAUAUAGGCAG
rnacentral:lncRNA from 1 species